UACGGAGGGGGCUAGCGUUGUUCGGAAUUACCGGGCGUAAAGCGCGCGUAGGCGGCUUUGUAAGUUAGAGGUGAAAGCCCGGAGCUUAACUCCGGAACUGCCUUUAAGACUGCAUCGCUAGAAUUGUGGAGAGGUGAGUGGAAUUCCGAGUGUAGAGGUGAAAUUCGUAGAUAUUCGGAAGAACACCAGUGGCGAAGGCGACUCACUGGACACAUAUUGACGCUGAGGUGCGAAAGCGUGGGGAGCAAACAGG
rnacentral:rRNA from 1 species